CCCAUUCCGGUCUUCGAGACCGCGUCUUCAACUCGCCGCAGGACCCCACGAAAGUGGCCGGAAGUGCGGACGAGGCGAAGUAAACCCUUGACUAUGAGCACCUUUUGUUCCCUCGGCGGGCUCGCGCCCGUCGCUGGGCCCAUCCAAACCCCUUUACAGUAGCCGUACACCUCUGAUCGUGGGCACUUGAAUCUUUA
rnacentral:misc_RNA from 1 species